AUAUAUUAAAUAUUUCUUUAAUGGAUUGGUACAUUUCAAGCUGUGUUUUCCAAUUACUUUUAAAUAAAAUUAGAUUUAGUUUAUAGAUGGACUAUCCAACUCAACAUUUCUAUUCUACAUUCUUUUGGGUCUCGUUUGCUUUUUAAUGUACUGCUGCAAUGCCUGGUGGCUCAAAUUGUGCUAUUGUUGGUUGCCAUACUCUGAGAGCCAAAUGUCGUGGUCUUUCUUUUCACAAGUUACCAAAGAAAGGUAAAAAUGAUGUAUGGCGAAAUGAUCUUAUUGCUCUGAUUGACCGUGUUGAUUCUAGCUUUAAUCCUGAUACUGCCACAAUAUGAUCCCGUCAUUUCAAAGAGAGUUGCUUUGUACCAACUAACAACAGCCAUUCUACACCAGAUAAAGAUGUGUAUUUCAAGAAGAAACCACAUUAUCUUAAACCUGGAAGUUUACCGACAGAAUACAUGCCACAAAAGUCAAUAGUUACACAUAAGCCUAUUCCACGUAAAGUUCCACUACCUCGUGAUCCACCUCCACUACCGUCAUGUGUCAAGUACAGAAAUUUGUCUGAACUGAAGAAGGAUGUUUGUAAUCCUCAAUGCUUACCAUCUCCAUGGUGUUUGCUGGAAGUUAGUGAAAAUCAGAUAAUGGUUGGUAUGUUGAAUGAAAAGAAAACAACAGUGAAAUUAAAACUAAAAAUUUCAGAAGACUUAAAGGUUUCUGCUUCAAUGAUGGAAAAUCCUAUUCCAAAUUUCAAUGAAAUUAUGGAAAAUAUAUCAAUUUUUAAA